GGGGCCCCGGCGGUCCCCGGCACGGGCCCGCCGCUGUCGCGUGCUUCCAGAGCGUCCCCGUCCCCGGUAAUGAGCUCCCAGGGCCCGAGGAUCCAGGUUCAAUUCCCCAGGAUCCAGGACCUGCUAUGUGGCGUAAAACGGAUUUGGACACAAAUCGUGCCAUAACAGAGCUCAGUCUGGGUCCCAUCCCUCAAGUUCAUGUGGCAUGUGGAAGACUUUCCAGGACCAACGUCUCUAGCUCCUGCCUCCUCUGAUUGUCAAAAUUCUCUUUCACGGUACCCAAUUCUAAAAAGAUUCAGCGCAUCUGAGAGAAUGUGAAAGAUAGAAGUGGGAGAAUCACAGAUGACAAAAAAGAGAAUUCAGCAAAUUAAAAAUUUUACAACUAUCCAGCAACUCUGCAAAAAUGAUCUUCCCCGCGGUCUUUCAUUUAUCUCAUUAUCUGACUCCUAAUGUGCUUUUUCCCCCCUUUCUUUUCUCGCCA